rnacentral:rRNA from 1 species
AGUGAACGCUAGCGAUAUGCUUUAACACAUGGCGAGUAUGUAAACGUUUUUUAACGUGUGCGUACAGGUGAGGAAGCUGUGGGUACUUACUCAAAGGGUUCGGGACAAAAAUAUUUGUUUUUUCUUUUAAAGUUAAAAAGCAUACACAAAUCCCGGAAAAAAAGAUUAACUAAAAUUUAAUUGCCUUUUGCGAGCGGCUCAUGGAGGAUUAGCUAGUUGGGUUUUCAAUAAAAUAAUAGGUUAUUUUAUUGAAAUUGGAGGGGUAAUGGCUCACCAAGCCGAUGAUCCUUGGCCGUGUCUGAGAGGAUGGUCGGUCACACUGGGACUGAGAUAAAGCCCAGACUUUUUUCAAAGGCUGCAGUUGAGGAAUAUUGGACAAUGCGCUAUAAGCGCGAUCCAGCAAUAUCGUGUGAGUGAUGAAGGUCAACUGGUUGUAAAAGCUCUUUCGAUCAAUGAUAAUUAUGUUGUCAAGGAUUAAAGAAGUUCCUGGCUAACUUCGUGCCAGCCGCCG